rnacentral:antisense_RNA from 1 species
CUUGAUGGAGCCGAGCAGCACGGGCAGGGUCCGGUCCCGGCCGUAGGUGGCCAGGACGGCCUGUGCCUC